rnacentral:lncRNA from 1 species
GUUGCUGCUGCUGUUGUUGUUGCGGGUGAUGGUGGUGGUAGGCGGCUGAGAGCGGAGACAGCCGCUGCGGGAAGCCAGCCGGGACUUCGGAGGGCGCCACCACUGGGGUGGGUCGAAGCGGGGAUCUGGCCGCCGCUUGGAAAGAGGCGUGCGGGUGAACCGAGCCCAAGUGCGCGGUGAGGGCGGCGGCCGAGGCCCCUGCCAGGCCCUCCGGGGCCGCCCCCAGAUCCCCCACGCCGGCGUGCAGAAUGUCUGCGAUGCAGAAGGAGGGCUUUUUGACGGCGGCGGGGUCCAAGGGGAAGGAGCAGCCGCCUGGGCCGGCCGAGGAGCAGUAAGCGGCCGACCAGAGGCUGAAGUUGGAGGCGUAGAAGGGAGCCAGCCCGGCUGCGAACAUCCUGCCGGGGUGAGCCGCGCGGCUGCCGCAGUCCAGCCGGACUGGGUGGGUGGGCGCGCGGGGAGGGGCGCGCGAGUCCCGGAGAAGGCGGCGGCAGCCGAGGACGAUCCGCUUUCGCUUCUCCGCCCGCACUGAGGAAGAGAGGCCGGGAGCCCUAGCGCCACCGAGGGAGGAGGCGAGGGCCGGAUCUCGGCCGGUCACCGCCUCGCUCCCUGGCCUCGCUUUAAAGGCGGCGCGGCGCCCGCACUCCUCGCGGGCUGGAUGAGAGCGAGGGGCGCUGGGGCCGCAGGGCGGGCGGGGGAGCCAGGGAGACGGGAGCCGGACACCGCAAGAAAACCCAAAUAGCUAAGCCCUAAGAGCUAAAUUUAAAACAACAACAAUAAUAGUCCGUUAGUUAGGGGGGGGGAAAAGUAAUAGAAAAAAAAAAAAACUCGUCUCUAAAAACUCCCAAAGUUUUGGCAGGAGCUUUCGAGUCAGGCCCGGGGUAGGACCUCGAUCCGAGCGCUCAUUGGUCAUCCUCGUGACCAAUGGGAGCGGGGAGUGGAGGGGAAUUAGGAACAAGGGGGCCUGGCCGGACCCUAGCCACGCCCCGGCCACGCCAAAGUUUUUGCUGCGGCCGCGUGGGCUUAGUAGCGCACAUCGCAGUGCUUCUUGCUACUCUGCGUAGGGGCCAGGCAGCCGCUCCGGAGGGCUCUGACUCUCUUCUAACUUCUGCAGCUCCGAACCGCCACGGGGCAAGGAGGGUUGAUCACAGGAGCUUUCCUGAAGCGCUUGUCACCCGGGGCGAGUUGGGGGCGUGGGGAAGGGACGGUAAUCUCACUCUUUAGGGCUCUGCAAAGCCCGCCUCCCGGUGGAGAGCGGAGCGCGCUUUGGCCCCUUUGCUUCCCUUCUCUUGACCUCAUUCUGCUUUUAUUCCAGGAGUCCGUGUCCUCGGCAAAGCCCCUCAUCUUUCCUGGGCCCUUGCCCAAAUGUUGCCGCCCUGAGUCCCGGCCCAACUCAGCACCGCGUCCGCCUCGUGCCUCCCAGGAGAUCCUCCGGGAAGCGAGGAGGAGGGGCGGCCGCAAAUUGGUUUUAUUCUGAGCUGUCACACAGUGACAAAUUGAACGAGUGACUUUUCAAACAAAAUAAGACGGAUGGCUCCAAACGUCUCUCUUAGACGCAGCCAAACCUUUCCCCGGAGCCUCAGAGGCUACAAAACAGGCUGCCUCCCGAAACCCGGGAGAGCGGCACGCGCUUCCAUCCUUUGCAGGAGGUUGUAGGAAAUGUUAGCCUCACCCCUCCACCACAUCUCCGGAUCACGUGGGGUUCGUUGUUUUGCAAGUGCCCACAAGAGCAGAUUUCCGUGGGGUUCAAUACUGCUUUCAAUUCUGUGACAGCUUCCCCAGGAACCCCUUGGGCCUGGUUGCAGGAGGAGCUGCGUGGUGGUCAACGUCUUCCAUUCGUGCCUUGGGUCUUUAGAACGCAGGGUAGUGGUGGUGGAGGUUUUGUGCAACAUCGACAUAUCUAUUUUAAGAAUUUCUUCUCUUUAAAUUAUAGUCAGAAUGAAUUUCCCCACCCCUCUCCCAAACAAACCACAGGCCACCCAGAUGAGCUGUUCUUGCACAUUUUCAGGAAGAAAAUAAAAUAAUACGAAUAAUGAAACCACGAAAACUUUUGUUUUCGAUUGCCCUAAUAAGCAUCUCCUAACAGGGAUUCUGUGACAUUUUUAUUUCCCUUCAGCACGAAGGCUCCUCACCAAAUAAACCCAGAAAAGCAAGUGAACUUGCCAUGCCUAUCUCGAGUUCAGGGUUUGGGCUUAUAAAAUUAAUUUCUGGUGUUUUCUCUAGCCCCUUGAUGCAGAUGCUAUCCUUUUAAGCUUUUGACUUUCUCCUGGAAAAUUAUCAAUCACUUCUGAUCAGCCAGCACUAAGAUCUCUCCCUCUCCCUCUCUCUCUCCCUCCUCCCGCCCUCCAGCUCUCCCGCUCUCGCUCUCCAUCUCUCUUUUACUGAAAGGUUUUCUUCCCCUGCUCCACGCAACCAGGAGAGAGGUGCUAUUUCCAGAGAUAGAUGGGUGUGUUUGGCUGAAGGUAGGGGUACCUGGGGCGAGAGACGUAUUAAGACCAGUUUUUCUGUGUCAAGGUGAAGGCAAAGGAGCGACAAGUACAACAUGGGCAAUUGAGGCGCUGGCUGAGGGUUCUGGUGAGCCUUCGGUGGGAGUGUGCGUAGCGGAGGCCGUGAGCCCUCUGCUUUCUAGUGCCACUUCCAGUUUGAUUGCGUUUCUAAUUUGACUGCAAACAUUUAGACCUCAGCCUAAGCCCAAACUCACGGUUGUGAAAGAGGUGCAUUUACUCCUUACCCGAGGCAGCGCCGCGCGCCCUCACCCUCUCUCUUAAGAAAUAAGACUCCCCUAUCAGCUUUCACCCUUUCCAAGGUUUGCGACGCUCCGGGGUGGGCACGGGAUACAGACCCGGGGGAAUGCGAGUCCUCAGGGUUCCCUAGGUGCCCACAACUCGCAUCUGCCGAGAUUCAAGGCCCGGAGCGCUGGGCAGAUGCGGCGAAAGCGAGGCCCCGAGGCCCGCCGACUCCUCGCGGCGCCGCGAGCCUCCCUUUCUCCGCCAGGCCCGCGGCUGGAGUGCAAGUUGCAACUUCGCCUGCGCGCCCCUUGCUCUCCCAGGCCUCAGCUUCCUCGCAACCGCGUCGGCGCCAUCCAAGGCCUUACUCCCAGCUCCCGGAGGCAAACGCGAAAUACAAGUCUUUGGAGCGACCCCCGCCGCCCCCUCUACCCCUUCCCCAGGCCCAAGCCUGGCCCCUGCAGGCCCCUCGCCGAGUUCUGAGCCCGCAGACUCCCGCCCUCCUUACUCCCCACUCUUCAGAACCAAGAAAGCAGCAGGAAACCCUGGGCUCGCCGGAGUUCAGGUCAUCUCCUGUUUUUUGAUGGGCUCAAACUCGGGACUAAAUGAGCGGAUGUGCCUGCGAGAUUGGUCUCAAAAUAGAAGCGGCCUUAGUAUUUUAGGAUACUGCAGAAAUCCUUAUUUCUUCCGGAGAAAAACUCUAUAAUGACUCCUAGCACUUCCCCUUUCAAUAUUUGUGCAACUUUAUCUCCACCGGCAAGUUGCUCGGGUGACGCAAAUCCGCCCUUAUGUAUUACAACUACCAAAAUAAAUGCACGGAAAUCAAUUCCCUUCUAGCAAUGAAAAUAUAAAUAUACAGCUGCGACUUUCCCCUUUAAUCUUUGCUUUCCGAGAGGCUCCGGGCUGUGGCGAAAUGAACUGGCCCAGAGCUACUGAGCCGGGCAGGGAGGUCCUGGGGGUAGAGGCGAGGGCUCCCCAGGGGCUGGUAGCCAUGGGGGUUGAGAAUUUAACAGGAAAGAAAAGGGCCUGGCUAAACCGAAUUAACUUGAGCUUGGUCUACGCAGCGGAGACCCUAACUGUGGCCUCUUUUCUUUGGAAAAUAUCGCAUUGGCUGGGGUUUCUGAUCAUGCUGACUGCUGUUUUUAAUGCUUUCAACUCAUCCCUUCACUUUUCCUAGUUAAACACAGCCAAAGACGAUUUCACCAUAUUGGGAAUGGAUAAGAUCAGAGAAGGUUCGUUUUAUAAUUUAACAAUAUAGCUUAUGGGGAUUUAGGGUUUAAAAGGGUCCUGAAUCAGGGGCUUAUGCAAUGACUGAGGCAAGAGAUGGGUUUCACCAUCCUUUGGUUCUACCUGUCUUUGGAGCCUCCAUAUUUAAAUCAUCAGUGCAGACUUUUGUCCCAAAACCAGAGUCACAGAUCCACACUGAGCACAGGUCAAUUAUAGUGAAUGCUGGGCCUUGUAUAUUACAGGACCAUAACUCUUCAAGGACUUGAACUGGCUAUAUCUGCUAUCUGUGUUGCUUUUUCUUGUGCAUUCUGGGUAAAAUAAUGUGCAAGGCAGUUGCUCUGUGGACUUCGGAACCCCUCUCCUCUUAAUUUCAAAUAUUCUUGCAAACAUGGUACCUACUGGCUUCAAGAAAAGAGAUGUAAAUAAUUAAAUAUUUACAAUCAGAAAGAAAAAGAAACACAGCUUAUCCAGCUACUUGAGAAUUCAAGAAAUUUGCAGCAACGUAGGAAUCUGUGUAUAUUGUGCCUGUCUUUCUGCCAGCUGGAGACUUAUGGAUCACUGGUCCCAGCAGUCAUACUUAGUGGUGGAUAUGGGAGUUCUGUUCUUUGUGGGUGCCAGAUACUAGAGAUUAGGACUCUAAUGAUCCCCCAUAGACACACCCCCUACCCACACACGCAUACUUUGGCCUAUUCUAAGUAGGACACAACUCUCUUUCCUUGGAGACCUUAGAGUUAUUCCAGAAUUUCUGAGUUUUUGAGAAGAAUUGGACUUUGCUAUGGGGUGGGAAAAGCAAAUAAUGCAAUAGGGCUACAAACAUCCAUAGCUAUUUGAUUUAUUCUUUUUCCUUUUCUCCAUUUCCCAGAUGUGGCAGAUUUGCAGGUGGCCAGCUCUCUAUUUGGCUGUGGCCCUGCCCUUGAACUUUAUCCAUAGGUCUUGCUCCAAAGUUUCAGACAGCCUUUUGGCUCUGAUUCCAUUUGCCCUUUCCUCUCAUAGGGCUUCUCACAUAUUUCCCUUCCUCACUACUAAGAUAUACCACUUUACAUAUAUGUACCUCUCUCUCUCUCUCACACACACACACACACACACACACACACUCUCUCUCUCUCUCUCUCUCUCUCUGGGAAUCUUAGAAAUGUGGAGGGGAGGGGAGGCAGGCAGUUUGGGAUUUGCUCCUGUUUCAAAGAGCUGCUUCUCUGCCUCUCCAAGUCAUCCUCUCUACAUCCAGCCAAGAAAGACCCCAAAUCUCAUAAAACCUAUGGCAGAACCCAUUUCAACAUGGCACAUUAUAACAGACUCAUAUACAUUUGCAAUGAAAUCAUAAGAGUAAAAUAUGAGAGACUAUCUGUAGCAUAUAUGAGCUUACAUACUUCAUUGCACGGGCUUCUAUUUAGUAGCUGUAAACAGUGCUCUCCCACUUCCCAUACAUUAGCCACUCACCUUGGAUUUGUUGCCUGAAUUAUUGAAUCUGAAUGGCUGGUUGUUAAGGUAGGAGAAGGAGGAGUAGGUGAAAAACAUAUAUCCAAAACAGACAGGGAUGAAAGGCAUUCCCAAAGCAGUAUUUCUCUAAACAAACAAAUAAACCUUCUUCCCUGUGAGACAGGUUUUCAAGUUAGAGCACAGGUUCUAGGGCCAGAAGAGGGACUCAGGCCCAGACUAAAAAACAGUCAUGGGAAGGGAUCUUCUGAAGGGAGAGGAUCCUGGAGCCAAUGAGAGGGAUUUUGCAGAUAAAGCCAAUGGGUUGUUGUCCCCAUCUCAGUGGUCCCAAUCUGCCUACCAGCACCCGCCAGAACUGGGACAGCCCUGGAUUUAAUGACGGAGUCCCCCCAGCCCUGUCCCAGCCCACCAGGCCCGGGCAUCUCCCUCCCUGGAGGAGCCCACCUAGUACUGAAAGUUGGUUCUCUGCUGACACCUGCUGGACCAUCUCUACAUUGUUUUAUGGCAGUAACCAUCCUGUGCCAGCAACAUUGUUAUGAUGAAAGUUGACUCUUCCUUUUGCAAAAAUGCAGGUUUCUAAAACUGGCUUUGACUAGCAGCUGUUUCCUUCCAUAUUGCAACAAUAUGGGAAGAUCUUGUAUUGUGUGCUUAAAAUCACUAGACCGGGCAAGGGAAGCAGUCAUGGUUCAGGAAUAAUACUGUGUACAUUUUACAGAUCUCAAGGUCAAUUCACAUUUAUUAUCUCACUUUUUUAAAAUAACCAACUGUAGGAUGCCGACGAGGGAUUAUUAUCCCAUUUGACUUUAGGAAGUUGAUCCUCAGAAAGGUUAAGUGGCUUGCCCAAGGUGACGUAGUUGGGAAAUGGUGUUGGAGGGAACAGAGGCUAGGUUUUCUGGUUCAUCAACCGGUAUUAUACCAUCCAGCCAAUUUCUUCAGGGGAAAUGGUUUAUUCAGAGGAAAAACUCUCUGCCCUUAAUCAGAAUGUGUAUUGAUUUCAAACAAGGAGCUGUAGAAAAGAAGUAUGUCUAACUCAGACACACUUCCCUGUCCUGAAAUUUCUUUCUCUCCUCAGCAUUAAAUGUGGAGACUUCCUUGCCUCCCAGUAUCAUGCCACUUGUUAAAUUCUAGUUUGGGCAUCUACCCAAAUGAGGCCCAAAUUUGAUUUGGGUGGAUGCUCUAAAUCAGAAUUCAACAAGUAGCAUGAUACUGUGUCCAAUUCACAUCUGCAAAUGAAAAUAAAUCCCUCAGUUUAUAUUCAGUUUUGUCUUUGCACUAAUAAAAGUAAAUCAUUUUGACUAUUUAAAAUAUCCAACCAACUAGAUGCAGUUUGCCUAGGAAGGCAUUUAUCUAAACCUUCUCACCCACCCUCCUUGCCCUCCAUCAUAACAUCCCAGUCACCUUUUUCCGUUGCAGCUGGAAAGCAGUCUAUUUUGGUUGCCAUCAAAGCCCUGACUUCAAUCUCUAUGACCCUCUGGAUCUGAGAAUGCCUCUCAGCUUCCAAUGCUUCAUCGCUCUCUCUAGUAUUACCCUCAUCUCCCCACCCUACACUUUUUCCCACAGCAGCCAUGUGCAAUGGAGAUUUCCACAGGAAGCAUGACAUGUGAGGUGCUCAAGAGGCAGGAGCUUAAGAAGCCUGUGAGCAGAUUUUAAGAGGUUUCUAUGCAGACCCCAGAAGCAGGCAUCCUUGACAGCAGGGAGCCUCAAAGCAGACAUAGUGUUCCUUGUUAUUCUGGUCUGCUGGAAAGUAAGAGGCUUUCAGUUGCUCUCCUCACUCCUUUGCUUCUCUUCCCUCCCCUAUAACAAAUAUGAUUUUAGUCAUCAAGGUCAUAUAGAAUCUUCUGAAAUUUCUUAGAAUUUUUCAAACUUACUGCCAACCUCCCUGGUUGAGAAUCUCCUUUCUUCAUGCCUAGAUAGAGAGAAAUGGUGAGUUCUAGGGCCAUGCACUCUGCUAAGCACUCUACAGACAUUAUCUCAUGUGAUUCUAACUUUUUUUAUUCUUUAUUUUUAGAGAUGGGGUCUCACUGUGUUGCCCAGGCUGGUCUCAAACUCCUGGCAUCAAGCGAUCCUCCCAUCUUAGCCUCCCAAAGUGCUGGGAUUACAGGCAUGAGCCACUGGACCUGACCCUCUCUCAUGUGCUUCUAAAAACAAGCUCAGGAAGGUGCUAUCAUUAUUUCCAUUUUACUUGGGGGUAAGGGAGGCUUAGAAUGGUUAAGUAACUUACCUAAGGUCACAGUAAGUAGGGCACAUUGGAUUUGAGGCUGCAUUUUUAGCCACUAGGCUCCUUGCUCAUUGUUAAUGUUUAAUUUUUGUGUCAACUUGACUUGGCCAUGGGAUGCCCAGAUAAACAUGAUUCUGGGUGUGUCUAUGAGGGUGUUUCUGGAUGACAUUAACAUUUGAGUUGGCAGACUGAGUAAAGCAGAUUUCUCUCCCCAGUGUGGGUAGUAGGCCUCAUCCAAUCCAUUGGAGGCCUACAUAGAACAAAAAGCUGAGUAAGGAGAAUUUACUCUCUCUACCUGUUUUCAAGCUGAGAUAUUGGUAUUCUCCUGCACUGGGACUGGAAUUUACACCAUCAGUUCUCCUGAUUCUCAGGCCUUCCAUCUCAAACUGGAACUACACCAUCAGCUCUCCUGGGUCUCCAGCAUGUAGACAGCAGAUCAUGAAACUUCUCAGCCUCCAUAAUUGCUUGAGCAAACUCUAUAGUUAGCAGGAGAUCCCAGUUUCUGCAUGCGGCAAUGGCCUGCUCUGUGCACAUGACUACCUACCUUUCCUGACAGCUGAGAUCUCACUCUGUUUGCUUUCCUUUUCAGUUCUUCCCAGUUAACCCUCCCAAGGCCAAAUAAGUUAAAACUGUUAAAAAAAAAAUGGUGAAGUAGAGGCAGUGACACUUAUCUGCAACCAAAUAUCCGUGGUUGAUUCUAUGAUGAGCAGGAAUUGAUAAUCACAACUCUUCAUUAUAGUUUGCCUUGAACUAUAUGUUUCGUAUGAUAAUAAUAAUUUUUUUUGAGUCAGGGUCUCACUCUGUUGUCCAGGAUGGAGUGCAGUGGCAUGCUCAAGGCUCACUGCAGCCUUGACCUCCUGGGCUCAAGCAAUCUGCCCACCUCAGCCUCCCAAGUAGCAGAGACAAGUAUGCACCACCACACCUGACUAAUUUUUUUUUUUUUUUUUUUUUUUGGUAGAGAAGUGGUUUCACCACAUUGCCCAGGCUGGUCUCAAAUUCCUGAGUUCAAGUGAUCUGCACACCUCAGCCCUGCAAAGUGCUGGGAAUACAGGCGUAAGCCACUGUGCCCAACUGAAACAUGUUUAAUAUAAUUAUUUGAUAAACUUGGUUGUAAUGUUAUUUUUAUUGUAUUCACUGUGUUAUUUUCACUGUGUUCACUGUGUUAUUUUCAAUAAAUUCCUCUUCUUAAUGCUUUCAACAUAAGUUCCAUUAUGAAAGCAGUUUGGUGUCUCUUUGUUUGUGGAGAUAGAGUCUCACUCCGUCGCCCAGGCUGGAGUGCAGUGGCAUGAUCUUGGCUCACUGCAACCUCUGCCUCCCAGGUUCAAUCGAUUCUCCU